rnacentral:tRNA from 2 species
GGGGGUGUAGUUUAGUGGUGAUAACGCUGGUUAAAUUACCCUAGCCUAGUGCUAGGGACUGGGAGCUUCGGCACCAGCAUAUAAUAAUCAGAGGUCCUGGGUUCGAAUCCCUGCACACCUA